GGAGUCACGCGAAGUCGGAAGUACCAGCUGCGGGAAGGAGCUGCCCACUGUGCGUCUUCUCAACUUGUUGGGACAACCUUCCUGCGGAAAGGAGAGACAACCUUCCUGCAGAAAGGAGCUACCUGCUUCAGGUCUACUGAGAGCUGUUCUGCCACUCAAUAAAGCUCUUCUCCAUCUUGCUAAGCCUCCAUUUGUCCGCAAUACCUCAUCUCCCUGGACGCAGGACAAGAACUCAGGACCCGCCUGGAGGUGCCCACAGCAGAAUCCACAUGCCGUCCAUCUGGUCCAGCCUCACGCAGAGCCACAACUGUGCUGGCGCCUGGAGCUGCCAGCCCCACUGCAGCAGCCGGACUGACAUUCAGACGUGGAGCAAGUUGGACUGCAUAGGGACCCACCAGUGAGAUGGACGCUGUCUGUAAACGAUGACUUCUAGGAAGAAAAGAAAAAAUUCUGAUUAAACAGCCAUAUUCAUGCUGGAAGUCUACACUUUGAAUUUCUUGCACUCCAAGAUUCUAACUGUUGACCAGUUAUCAGCUGACAUUCUAUAUAUGUUUGAUGAGUAGCUGAAUGGCUGAAAAGAUUAGUGCAAACUAAAGAAUUACUAAAGUCCUGAAUGUGAUGUUUGGUUAUGUCUAUAAUUUAUAGAAUUUUCCCUAUUAUUUUAAAUGCUAACAUUUCAUGGAAGUAUAUUUGAAUAUAAAAGAUUAUAAAAUUACUAAUCCAGCAUUUUAAAAAUCCCCUGCUGAAUUUCUUAGAAGCAGAUAUAAAUAAUAUAUUCUCUAGGUAAUUUCAUGUAUUUAUUUUUUUCUUUCAUGUUCUAAUUUUGUUGAGACAAAAGGAGGGCUUUUUCUUUCAACCAAAAUAAUCAGAAAUCUUAUCAGUUUAGUAAUUAGGGAUUGAAAUACAAAGCUAGUGAAGUAAGGCUACAUUGCAAAGUCUGAUAGUGUACAGUAGUUUAAUGUUUAUUUCUCUGGCAUCAUGUCCUCUCUGUAAGAGAAUGUGUUGGAAGGUAAGCACAAAUAGUUUUUUGCUUGACAUGCUGUAUUUCGUCAUGCUGCUAAUUAGCACAAACACUUACUCCAAGAAGUGAAAUCAUUACUUUCUCUGGGAGUAACUGAGAGGUUCUUUGUAGUGGAGAAAAAGCCCAGGUGUCCAGCUUGAAAUAGCAAUUACCACCCAGGUGUCUGUCGUAGUAACAACAAAAUACUUUAGCUAAAAAUCCAAGAAGAAGAAUGGAACUGCUUCAUUCUUUCUAUGUUGGAUGGCAUUCACGAAUAUGUAUUAGUAAAUAAAAUAAUUAUCUCUUGCUGUGUAAAAAACUACUUCAAAAUUUAGCAGCUUAAAACAGCAAGCAUUUAUUAUCUCACAUGGUUUCUGAGAGUCAGAAAUCUGGGAGCAGCUGAGCUGGGUGGCUCUAGCUCUGGACGUCUUGUGAGGUUUUACUCCAGCCGUUGCCUGGACAGUCACCUGAAGCUUAGCUGGGGCUGGAGGGUCUGCUUGCAAGCUCCCUCCUCUGGCUGUUGGCAGAAGGCCUCAGUUUCUCACUAUGUGGGCCUCUCCGUAGGACUGCUUGCAACAAGGCAGCUGGUUUCUCUCAGGGUGAAUUAUGAGAGAGAAAGAGAUAAAAAUUGAACGUCUUUUAUAGCAUAAUACCAUCCCUUCUACUAUAUCCUGUUGGUCACAUUGACCAACUCUGGCACAAUGCAGGAAGGAACUACAAAGAGUGUGAAUUCAGGAGGUGGAGACUAUUGGGGGCCAUCUUGGAAGCUGAUAAUCACCAGGUACUAAACUUGUUCCAGGAAGUACCCCAGGCAUAGAUAAUACAUGUAUGAAUAGGACAAUUUAUUUAUUCCUUUUAUUAGUCUUGUGAUCAAUAGAACAUGUAUUUAAUAUCUACUAUAUGCCAGCAUCUGUGUUACACAAAAGGUAUUCUAAAGUAAAUAAGACAUGAGCUUAUCCUUAUAUUCUGGCGGGAGAGAUAAAUAUGUCAGUAAAUAGACAAUGGUGUUCCACUCUAACAUAAAAGAGAUUACACUAAGUAUUGUAGGGGCAUUUUGGAGAGAGGUUGCGUAGAGAAUGUGCAAAGUUGAGCAAUUGCUCCGAAGUGCAUUUGAGUAGGAUAGACAGAGCGAUUAGCGUUGAGAGCUACAGCCACUCAGUAUUUUAGAAGAAUGAAAUAGCAUGCAUAUAGAUUUACUUUUGCAAAUACAGGUGCAACAGUGUCUCUUGCCCUAUGUGCUCUUCUUCAACGUGACCUGGACAUUUUCCCAUCUAGAAUUGGGAUCUAUUUCUCUGUGCUCUUAAAUCUGAGGGUCUUGGGAACUGCCUUCACUAAUAGACUAUGGUAGAA
rnacentral:lncRNA from 1 species